AAAGGGAACCGUUUGGAGCCAGACUGGUUUGACUGUAAUCAACCUAGAAUUCGUUUUGGGUGCACUUGCAGUCUAUACCUGCCAACAACAGUUUGAUUUGGAGGACAAAAUUAAUAGGAAUGUAGCCUCUCGAGGUGUUAUAGACUAUUAUCAUACUCUGGAUUGGACUGAGGAACGCAGCGAAUGCCUUUAGGCAAGAUUGCUGGGUGCUUUCGCUAAUAAAUGUUAGAAUUUCUGCUUCGGGUGGUGCUAAUGUUUAAAGGAGGAACACAUCUAGUAUAUUUUUUAUUCGCUUAGGUUGUUGGCUUAAUGACUCUAAAUGACCCGUCUUGAAACACGGACCAAGGAGUCCACCAUAAGUGCAAGUAUUUGAGUGACAAACUCAUAUGCGUAAGGAAACUGAUUGAUACGAAGUCUUACGAUGGCAGUAUCACCCGGCGUUGACGUUUUAUACUGAACUGACCGAGGUAAAGCACUUAUGAUGGGACCCGAAAGAUGGUGAACUAUGCCUGAAUAGGGUGAAGCCAGAGGAAACUCUGGUGGAGGCUCGUAGCGAUUCUGACGUGCAAAUCGAUCGUCAAAUUUGGGUAUAGGGGCGAAAGACUAUGUCGA
rnacentral:rRNA from 1 species